rnacentral:rRNA from 1 species
UACAGAGGGUGCGAGCGUUGUCCGGAAUCACUGGGCGUAAAGCGCACGUAGGCGGCUUUGCAAGUCAGAGGUGAAAGCCCGGGGCUCAACCCCGGAAUUGCCUUUGAGACUGCAUCGCUAGAAUUGUGGAGAGGUAAGUGGAAUUCCGAGUGUAGAGGUGAAAUUCGUAGAUAUUCGGAAGAACACCAGUGGCGAAGGCGACUUACUGGACACAUAUUGACGCUGAGGUGCGAAAGCGUGGGGAGCAAACAGG